CGGGUGAGUAACACGUGGGUGACCUGCCCUUAGCUCUGGGAUAAGCCUGGGAAACUGGGUCUAAUACCGGAUAUGACCUCAUGACGCAUGUUGCGGGGUGGAAAGCCUUGUGCGGCUAGGGAUGGGCCCGCGGCCUAUCAGCUUGUUGGUGGGGUGAUGGCCUACCAAGGCGACGACGGGUAGCCGGCCUGAGAGGGCGACCGGCCACACUGGGACUGAGACACGGCCCAG
rnacentral:rRNA from 1 species